UACAGAGGGGGCAAGCGUUGUUCGGAAUUACUGGGCGUAAAGGGCGCGUAGGCGGCCCGCUAAGUCGAACGUGAAAUCCCCGGGCUCAACCCGGGAACUGCGUCCGAUACUGGUGGGCUUGAAUCCGGGAGAGGGAUGCGGAAUUCCAGGUGUAGCGGUGAAAUGCGUAGAUAUCAGGAGGAACACCGGUGGCGAAGGCGGGUCUCUGGGCCGUAACUGACGCUGAGGAGCGAAAGCAUGGGGAGCGAACAGG
rnacentral:rRNA from 1 species